rnacentral:rRNA from 1 species
UAGUGGCCUACCAAGGCGACGACGGGUAGCCGGCCUGAGAGGGUGACCGGCCGCACUGGGACUGAGACACGGCCCAGACUCCUACGGGAGGCAGCAGUGGGGAAUAUUGCGCAAUGGGCGGAAGCCUGACGCAGCGACGCCGCGUGGGGGAUGACGGCCUUCGGGUUGUAAACCUCUUUCAGCUCCGACGAAGCGAGAGUGACGGUAGGAGCAGAAGAAGCACCGGCCAACCACGUGCCAGCAGCCGCGGUAAUACGUAGGGUGCAAGCGUUGUCCGGAAUUAUUGGGCGUAAAGAGCUCGUAGGCGGUUCGUCGCGUCGGCUGUGAAAACCUGAGGCUCAACCUCAGGCCUGCAGUCGAUACGGGCGGACUUGAGUGUUGCAGGGGAGACUGGAAUUCCUGGUGUAGCGGUGAAAUGCGCAGAUAUCAGGAGGAACACCGGUGGCGAAGGCGGGUCUCUGGGCAACUACUGACGCUGAGGAGCGAAAGCGUGGGGAGCGAGCAGGAUUAGAUACCCUGGUAGUCCACGCCGUAAACGUUGGGCGCUAGGUGUGGGGGCCAUUCCACGGUCUCCGUGCCGCAGCUAACGCAUUAAGU